UACCAGCACCCCGAGUGGUCGGUACGAUUAUUGGGCCUAAAGCAUCCGUAGCCGGUUCUACAAGUCUUCCGUUAAAUCCACCUGCUUAACAGAUGGGCUGCGGAGGAUACUAUAGAGCUAGGAGGCGGGAGAGGCAAGCGGUACUUAGUGGGUAGGGGUAAAAUCCGUUGAUCCAUUGAAGACCACCAGUGGCGAAGGCGGCUUGCCAGAACGCACUCGACGGUGAGGGAUGAAAGCUGGGGGAGCAAACCGG
rnacentral:rRNA from 1 species